rnacentral:tRNA from 1 species
GGAGAGGUGUCCGAGCUGGUCGAAGGAGCACGAUUGGAAAUCGUGUGAUGGUUAACAGCCAUCCGUGAGUUCGAAUCUCACCCUCUCCGCCA